GUCCAGACUUUGAUUCUGGCUCAGGAUGAACGCUAGCUACAGGCUUAACACAUGCAAGUCGAGGGGCAGCGGUAUCGAAAGCCUGCUUUCGGUAGCCGGCGACCGGCGCACGGGUGAGUAACGCGUAUCGAACCUGCCUCAUACUCGGGAAUAGCCUUGCGAAAGUAAGAUUAAUGCCCGGUGUUUUCAGAGUCCCGCAUGAGGCUUUGAACAAAGAUUUAUCGGUAUGAGAUGGCGAUGCGUCCCAUUAGCUUGUUGGCGGGGUAACGGCCCACCAAGGCAUCGAUGGGUAGGGGUUCUGAGAGGAAGGUCCCCCACGUUGGAACUGAGACACGGUCCAAACUCCUACGGGAGGCAGCAGUGAGGAAUAUUGGUCAAUGGGCGGAAGCCUGACCCAGCCAAGUAGCGUGCAGGAAGACGGCCCUCCGGGUUGUAAACUGCUUUUAGUUGGGAAUAAAACGGGGCUCGUGAGCCCCCUUGCAUGUACCAUCAGAAAAAGGACCGGCUAAUUCCGUGCCAGCAGCCGCGGUAAUACGGAAGGUUCGGGCGUUAUCCGGAUUUAUUGGGUUUAAAGGGAGCGCAGGCGGACCUUUAAGUCAGCUGUGAAAUACGGCGGCUCAACCGUCGAACUGCAGUUGAUACUGGAGGUCUUGAGUGCACACAGGGAUGCUGGAAUUCAUGGUGUAGCGGUGAAAUGCUCAGAUAUCAUGAAGAACUCCGAUCGCGAAGGCAGGCAUCCGGGGUGCAACUGAUGCUGAGGCUCGAAAGUGCGGGUAUCAAACAGGAUUAGAUACCCUGGUAGUCCGCACAGUAAACGAUGAAUACUCGCGGUUUGCGAUACAUUGUAAGCCGCCAAGCGAAAGCGUUAAGUAUUCCACCUGGGGAGUACGCCGGCAACGGUGCAACUCAAAGGAAUUGACGG
rnacentral:rRNA from 1 species